CCUACGGGAGGCAGCAGUGAGGAAUAUUGGUCAAUGGACGCAAGUCUGAACCAGCCAUGCCGCGUGCAGGAAGACGGCUCUAUGAGUUGUAAACUGCUUUUGUACGAGGGUAAACGCAGAUACGCGUAUCUGUCUGAAAGUAUCGUACGAAUAAGGAUAGGCUAACUCCGUGCCAGCAGCCGCGGUAAUACGGAGGAUUCCAGCGUUAUCCGGAUUUAUUGGGUUUAAAGGGUGCGUAGGCGGUCGGAUAAGUUAGAGGUGAAAUCCCGAGGCUCAACUUUGGAAUUGCCUCUGAUACUGUACGGCUAGAGAGUAGUUGCGGUAGGCGGAAUGUAUGGUGUAGCGGUGAAAUGCUUAGAGAUCAUACAGAACCCCGAUUGCGAAGGCAGCUUACCAAGCUACUUCUGACGUUGAGGCACGAAAGCGUGGGGAGCAAACAGGAUUAGAUACCCCAGUAGUC
rnacentral:rRNA from 1 species